rnacentral:rRNA from 1 species
AGUGAACGUUGGCGGCGUGGAUUAGGCAUGCAAGUCGAGCGAGAACCGUAGCAAUACGGGGACAGCGGCGAAAGGGACAGUAAUGUGUAGGUACCUACCUCCGGGUUCGGGAUAGCUGCGGGAAACUGCAGGUAAUACCGAAUAACGUCUCCGGACCAAAGGUGUGAUUCCACCUGGAGAGGGGCCUGCAUCCUAUUAGCUUGUUGGCGGGGUAACGGCCCACCAAGGCGACGAUGGGUAGCGGGUGUGAGAGCACGACCCGCGUCAUUGGGACUGAGACACUGCCCAGACACCUACGGGUGGCUGCAGUCGUGAAUCUUCGGCAAUGGGCGCAAGCCUGACCGAGCGUCGCCGCGUGCGGGAUGAAGGCCUUCGGGUUGUAAACCGCUGUCGUAGAGGAGGAAAUGCAGGGGGGUUCUCCCCUCUGUUUGACCUAUUCUAGGAGGAAGUACGGGCUAAGCUCGUGCCAGCAGCCGCGGUAA